rnacentral:rRNA from 1 species
CCAGACUCCUACGGGAGGCAGCAGUGGGGGAUAUUGCACAAUGGGGGGAACCCUGAUGCAGCGACGCCGCGUGGGUGAAGGAGCGUUUCGGCGCGUAAAGCCCUAUCGGCAGGGAAGAAAAUGACGGUACCUGAUUAAGAAGCCCCGGCUAACUACGUGCCAGCAGCCGCGGUAAUACGUAGGGGGCAAGCGUUAUCCGGAUUUACUGGGUGUAAAGGGAGCGUAGACGGCAGCACAAGUCUGGAGUGAAAUCCCGGGGCUUAACCCCGGAACUGCUUUGGAAACUGUGCGGCUGGAGUGCAGGAGGGGUAAGCCGAAUUCCUAGUGUAGCGGUGAAAUGCGUAGAUAUUAGGAGGAACACCGGUGGCGAAGGCGGCUUACUGGACUGUAACUGACGUUGAGGCUCGAAAGCGUGGGGAGCAAACAGGAUUAGAUACCCCCGUAC